UGCCUUUGUGUUGCCCGUUCACUUUUGGAAACUAGUGAAUGUGUUGUCAAGAAAGGCGUAAACUAAGUACUUUGCAGCCCUUGAAUAUGAUGUCUUUGGUGUAGGAGCUGCAUAAGUAACAGUG